rnacentral:rRNA from 1 species
GAGUGCGAUCAUACCAGUACUACAACACCGAAUUCC